UUUCUAAGUUUAAGUUGGCGAGCUGGUCUUUUGUUUUUCUUUACGCUACAGAAGGUUCUCGCGGAUAAAUUUGGCGCUGAAAUAGAUGUAGGUCACAGCAAUCCUGUGUCAAUUUGUUUAGGAUUUGGAAAAUAAUCAGGAUUGAAAAUUCUGCUGUUAAAUCUUGCUGAUUCUUUUCAGCAAAAUGGCCUAUCUAUUAUGAGUAGAAAGGCACUUACUGGGAAGAGAAUACAGGUUUUUGAAUUUGUUGGUAAAGAGACUAUAGAUCUGCUAGCCACAGAUACAGGUAUUGAUAUUGAAAAAGAUGACUGGGAGAUUGAGCAAGGUGAAACUGAGGAAUAAUGCUCAGAAGAAGCCACUUUUGGUCGAUGCUUCUACAUUUAUGGAGGUCCUUAGCAGCUGGAGAAGCUGGAAACUUUGUCAAAUCAUUAUGAAUUACUAUGGAGUAGAACAAGAACAAGACUUCUGGGGGAAGAUAAAGCUGCUUUUGAUAGAAUGCUCAAGCAGAUGCAACAGUGCCAGCAAAGCAGCUGAGAUGGAGAGAAUUUUAAGUUUGAUAAGGGUAAAAAUGUUGACAGUGGAGAAACAGGCAACGGAAAUUAGAUGAAAAUUCAUUGUGAUGCAAGUGUCAGCAAAGCAGCUGAGAUGGCAGUAGGCUUUACGGCCACAUUUGGGGAGCUUUCUCUCAAUGAAAUAGUCUAAAAAACAGCUGAUCAUCUUGAGGCUAUUAGAUCUGAAGGAGUGCAUAGGCUUUUAGAGUUGAGCUAUCUUGGAGCAUCUCAGCUCCUCUUGACAAAAACUCAAAUGCACCAGGUGACAAAGUAAUGGAUGGGUAUUCUCUUAUAAUUGGAUGAUCAGAUGAUUAUUUUUUAAAGCCAAAGCUUGUCAGAUCCAAAGCACAGUCCAUGGCCAGUGGUAAUGAGGCUGCUUCAAACAGUUUUAAACAGAAAAAUGCUGCUCAGGUGAAGAAUACACAAAGAAUGGAUUGGAAAGUAAAGGACUGUUCAGUGAUUUAAAACAUACUGUAAGUAUUUUUCUAAUCUAAAUUAACCAUUGGAUCUGGUCUGAAAUCUUUAAAAAAUUUAAUGUUUUCCAAUUAUUUUUGCAUGAUGGGUUAGUUUUUUAAAUAUUUGGUGAUUUGUUGACGUUUGCAGAUUUUUUUAGUUAUAUUGAAUCUUUUUAAAACAAAAACGCUUGAGAAAAUAGAUUUUCUUCCGUGUGGACCAAUUUUAAAAUAUGUUUUUUGCAAUUUUUUUGAAAUCAUCAUUAAAAUCAUAUCUCUAUUCCUGAAAUUACUAUUAUGUGUCGGACUCCUCUAUGCUGAAUGUUAGUUUAUCUAGAAUAUAUGGGUUUCUGAAUGUAAUUUAGAGGAACUUGGAAUAGUAACUAAAAAUCAUUUUUAAAGUUGAAGAAAUUAUUUUGCUCAAAACAUAGUUUAAAUGAUCUGAAAACUAAUACUAUAUAUCGAAGAAGAUCCCACAUCGAUAUAGUAUGCUUCAACCGAUACUAAAUUCAUUUUACGAGAACAUUAAAGUGACACCUAUUGAAAGGAUUAUAUAUGAUAUGGUAUUUCCAUAGUCUACAGAAAUGAUUUCAAGUGCUUUUGGUAAUAAAUGUAGGGAUUUUCUAGGGCAAGUUGUUAGCCUGGAUGUGGCUGGCUGCCCUCUUGGAGUCAACCCAAUUAUGGGUAUUAAAAAAGUGCUCCCCUUUGAGAAGUGCUCCCUUGCUAGGGUUGCAAAUAAAGUAAAUGAAAAUUCUUUUGCUAGAGCAGACCUCAUUAAGUUUUUCUUUUGCUAGAAAAGACCUCAUUAAGUUGGGCACACCCUUCUUGGACAAAGAAAUAAAAAAGACAAUAAAUAUAAUGCUCCUCAGUUCACCAACAUGAAGGAAAGCAACCGCUGAUGAAGGGGUACAAUUUGCAUAUGUAAAGAGAUCAUUUGGGAUUCACAUUAUCAAGAAUUCAUUUAUUAUAUUCCCAUCAAGAGCAGAUUCUAAGGUGAAUUAUUGCAGACCUUAUGAGCAAAUUUUAAGGUGAUUUAUUGCAGACCCAUGAGCAAAAACUAUUGAAGAUUCCAAACAGGUUUAAAGAAGCAUUUUUGAGCAGAUUUGUGGAGGGGAGGUAGUUCUGAUUCAAGAAGAAGAUCAAGUACUUAUCAUAUCAUUCUUUUAUUGCGUUGGUGCCUCAUACUCAAGGAGAUCGAUGUCUCUUGCUGCGUUGGUGCUCAGUUGUGGGGAAUGGCGUCUCCAAUGGGUUGGUACCCACAAAGAUUGUAAGAACUUUCUAAUACAAAAAUAAUAUGUUGCCGUAGUUUUAUCUUGCAAGGGUUUCCAUUCAAAUUGUGUUCUUCUUGCCCUCUUGCUUGCGAGAUCUUGCAUUUGUGGAUAAUUGUAUUGCAAUAUUGCUUUUGUAAUUGUUUAUGUUUUUAAAAGUAAAAGUUUGUUGUUAUACUAAUUCACUCCACUCUCAGUAUAAUUGAGUGUUCUUCAAUUGGUCUCAUAGCGGGUUCAUUCAGAUAUAGCCUAAUUGCUUGAAGGUAGAUUUCUAAGAGCACUUAUGUUUGAACAAGAAGGAUACAUAUUCUUGUCAAACAAGGCACCAUUCUUUGAUGGGACAAAUUAUGCCUUUUUGAAGCAUAUGGAUGGAAACCUACUUGAAUGCCCUAGGAUAUGAUAUUUGGCAAUUGGUUUCCAAACUAAUGGCACUACCAUAGAAUAGUAGGGACCCCUCUGUUUGAUCUCUAUUAGUAGGCAGGCAUGUUACGUAUAUAAUAAUCGGGCCCCUACAAUUCUAUGGGUUCUUUGCCCUACUAUUUUAUGGACAAACCUACCAGAAUUGUGGGGGAGCAGUGAAUGGCUACACACCUUCAUUAACUCCCCCAAUCAAUCAUACCAGGAAGAAAGAAAGUGAGGACAUUGUAAAAGCCAAGCAUGAGAUUUUGUGUGGAUUAUUUGAAUAAUUGUUUGUGAAGGUAUGCAUUGUAAAUCAGCUAAGGACGUGGGAUAAGUGUAAGAAUAUCUAUGAAGGACAUUGAUCAAGUGAAAAAGGCAAAGCUUCAAACACAUUAAGGACAUGAAAGCCUCAAGAUGGAUGAAGAAGAGAUUAUAGCCUCCUAUUUGCUUUGUGUUGAUGAUAUUAUAAACACAAUAAGAGGUCUUGGUGAAGAAGUUGUUGAAGCCGUAAUUGUUCAAAAUGUACUAAUGUCCUUGCCUUUAAAAUUUGAUUCCAAAGUUUCAGCAAUUGAAGAAAUGAAAGAUUUAGACAAAUUGACAAAGGAUGUGUGUGUUGCAUGGAAUUCUUACUCCCUAUGAAAUGAAGAUUGAAGACAAACCAUCAAAAAGGGAGGCCACCUUCAAAGCAUCAAUGAAGGGAAAGAUCUUAUAAAGUAUGUGAACCAAGUGAUAGUUCAUGCAAUGAAACAGGUGAAGAAGAACUUCACCUCAUGGGGAAGCUAAAGAAAGGUUUUAGGAAAUAUCAAGAUAAGUUACCAUUUAAUUGCUUUGUGGUAGAUUAAGACACUUUGCUUCUAAGUGCCCACUAUAACCUCUAUGUCCUGCCAUUGGGCCACCUCGAGGGAUGAGUAUCCACGUGGGGAGCUAUCGCCUGUCUCUUCAUCAGACUUGUUGUACUGGCGCCAUUCAAGCUCAAAACGCUUGUCCAAAGGAGUGUUCUUGAUGUUAGCCCUGGGUUGACUCACUUCUAGUUGGUAGACCGAGAAAUCCUCCCUCUUUUUCCUAGGCCAAGAAUCUAACUUCAUGGCUUCCAACAUGGUCUGGGGGAUGGGUUUCACGGGAUUGUACUUUUGCAUGAUGGAGUAAAAGCUCAACCACGGGGGUUGUUUUAGCACGGGAAAAUCAUUGAGACCCACAUAGAGAUUUGGGUCGUCCACUUGUGGGUUAGUGUGCCCUUCACACGAGCUCUGUGGUUAGUGUUUUAUCGCAUUCUUUCUUCUAGAAAGGCACCCAUCUGGGUCACAACUUAAUGUAUCAUCAAUCACUACCAAGCCGAAUUGCACCAGCUUAGAUGUCAGGGCGUUUUCUACAAUGUUUGUUUGAACAAGAGUGAUGGGGCCAAUAGUUUUGUGGUCCUCUGUAAUGGAGAUGUCAUGCUUCCUUGCCCCUAUGACCCUUUCAAUUCUCACCAACUGUCUUGCAAUUUUGAGGGCGAGGGUCCUUUCGGUGACAUAGGUAGGUAGGCGGAAGGGCUCCUCUAAGAAACCAUGCACUCGGAUAAAGGAAAAAUCACUAUCUAAGAAUCAGUCACAAGGAGGGCGCUCAUUGUACAUCCAAUUCAUCUGAACUUGAGAAAAAUAGGCAAGUGGUUCAACGGGGAUUGAACCGAGGUCUCUAAAGAUGAGAGCUAGGAAACAAUAGCCAAUCACAUGUAUUGGCUAAAGAAAACCUCAUUUUGAUGCAGAAACAUGUAAACAAGGAUUGAUGCGAAUUUGAAGCACUGAAACUGCUGAAACUCGAUUAGCUGCUUGAUCAUUUCUCUGGCCACGAGGACAAAUAAGUCAAAGUGAAAAGACCUCCUCUGCUUCCAACAUUUCAACAAGAAGCCCAUCAUUGCAGGAGUGAUCUCUCGGUCAUUGUCAUGACUGCAUAACCAUGCAAGAGUGGACGAAAUAUCCUUGAGGUCAUCUUGUCUCAAGUCACCAUAAGACAAGGGGAGUCUUGGGAGUCCGAUUGAUGGACUUCGAUUGAGGGCACCAUGAUAGAAUAAGACAUCUCUUUUGGUAUUCCAAUAUUCUUCCAUGACAGCUUUUGAGAACACCUCCGUCCCUUCGAAAACGGGACAACACAUCAUGUCCCUUAUGGCCUCUAGGGAUAUUACCAUUUUCAGGAAAGAGUUGCUAAUUGAACAAGAAACAGGGUCGAACCCGUUGGCACACGCAACCACGAACUCUGGAUAGUGCGGAGCCAUGGGAACCACAAAUUGAGGGGCACCACUAUUCUAGAAAUUAGCUGCCGUGGACUGAGGCUUUGCCCUGUAAUGAAUCAUUCUCCUGCAUGCGACCUCUUCGAGGUUCUUGGGCUGUUUAUGCAGCUCGGGCUCAACCACACUGUCAAGAGAAUCUAUCACUGCAGAUGCGUUGCGGGUAACUGACUUAGACUUGGCCUUAGUCCUCGGAUAUUCCGGCUUGAGCGGAAUGGAUGGCGUGAGAAGAAUAAGAGAGUUCGCCGAAAACGUCCACCCAUAAUCUUUCUUGAACAAAACCAGAGGGAGUCGCUUCUGCUUCCAUUUUCUUCAAGAGAACUUUCCUCUCAACUCUCCAAAAGUUUUUUGGGUGCUUUAGGUUGCAAAUGAGCAAUAAGAUGGAUGUCUGGCGACCUUCCUCUUUUAAUGCACUACAUGCCUAGAUCUUCGCGAAAGAAGGUAUUUAAUGACGAGCGUCCAUUUGCAUGUAUGCCAAUUCAUUUUCUAGUGGUAAUUAAUCUUGAGGAGGACGAGCGCCGCCAUCUAUGUUUCCCAAGAGAAAACCUACUCAGUCCGUCGUUAAUCGGAGCCACUUGAGAGGAUUUGCUUGUUCGGACGGAUCUCCCCCUUAAUGAAGAAUAACAACAACCAAUAGGGCUCGCACAAAUUAAAAGUCCUGCGGAGAUUAUGGUUUAAAUACGAUGUACCUAUACAUACGCGUGGCAUCUAAGGACAUCGCCUCUUUCUUUGAGGUACCAAGCAGGACGUUUGCCAACUCCGAAUCAAACUUUGCCUACUUGUGUGAAUUGAUGAGGAAUGACAGAUGUGUCAGAAAUUGGGAGCAUUGGUAUUUUUCAUCAAUUGUCACCUAGAGCUGAGAAUUCGUUAUAAAUGUCUUUUCAAACAUUCCUUUACACAGUAUCAGCUUCAACGACGAAGCUUCUUGAGGAAAUGGAUACCCCUGUUAGGCUCGUCAGUAGUAAGGCUCAGGUCGCUUUCCUCGGAAAUAUUUCAGACAGAAGGCUGCAAAGGAUGACAAGGUAGAAGAAUCUCUUGAUCAUUGCUGCCAUCAAAUGGUUGCUUGGUGAGGACUUCAUAGAUGACGUGGACAAAUACCGUGUAAACAUGGACAUUUGUUCGUGUUUCGUGGCUUCACUGCUAGAUUCUGGGAUGACUGGGCUUCGGACCUCAUAGCUCACUAAAGCACUUUUCUCCCGUGAUUAUUUGGGGGGUUUGGAGGAUGUUGUGGCAUACCACAUCCCUUUCAGAGGCCUAGCUCUGGCGUUGGAUUUGAGGCGUUUCAUCACUUCUGGUGAGGAGGUGACUUGGCACUCGCUUAUUGGCGGUUUGAGAACAAUGACGUCGUCAUCUCAUCGCUUUCGAGCGAAGCUUGCUACAAAGUAUCUCCUCCGGAUCCACUUGACAGUUCUUGUUCCGGAUGGCAUCGAAUGGUACACUGACUUCAGGGAUUACAUAUCCCCACAGGUCCUGACGCCGCAUGUCCAACCCAAUCUGGUUCUCGUGUCCAUAUCUCAGGAGCCUGGCAACGUUUUCGAUCACAAGUGGUCAGAGGGGGAAGAUACUGCAGAUGAUGCUGGCGACUCUGAUUUCCAGAUUGAGGAUGAUGAAGAUGAAGAGGAUCCUUGAGGAAAUGGCAUCCUGCCUUUGAAAAAUUCAUCUUGCUUCUUGAUGUUAAAAAUUAGGCUGGAGGCCUACUGAUGAAUUAUAAAAAUACUCAUAACAUAAUGAUUUUCUUUUUGCUUAAUUAUGGCAUAUCUUGUGAUUUUCACUUUGCUUCGGGAAUGCAUGAGGAAAAAUAAAUAAAUAAAUAAAGCACACGAAGAAACAUAUUUACAUUAUGUACAUAUAAGGAAAAAAAUUCACUAAUGGAAAGGCUUAAGGUGGAAUCCGUUAACCGGGAUUCCGAGAGAAAAUCCCUGCAUAUCUUUGAGAUCAAAGGCAUUGAAACCUUUGCAAUUCGUAAUGCAGAAGGGCCCCUCCUAGAGACCAUCAAAUUUGUCAUGCUGACCGGGUUUGGCUGCCCUCUCAUUGUACUUCAAAACGAGGCCGCCUUGUUUGAAACCUGGGUCAGAACUUUUCUUCUUAUCAAACCACCUUUUGAUGGUUUGCUGGCGGUUCUAAAGGGACGAAAAUGCUGCUUCCCUUGCUUCUUCUAGUUCCAUAAUUUUCGCCAGUUUUGAAGAUCAAAUUUCUUAGGUCAUACAAAGGAGAAUUCAACUCCAGGCAUGGGACAAGGAGACAAUUUUUAGUUGGAAGAACUUGACAACAAAAUGGGGAUGUGGAAAGAAAGAAUCGAAUAGUUCAAAAUGGCUAUAUCCAUGUUAAAUGAGUCAAAUUUAUUUGACACUUUUUGGAGAGAUGUAGUUUGUGUGGUAGUCUAUAUUUUGAAUCGUGCACAAAUGAGAGUAAAUGAUAGCAAACACCAUAUUAGUUAUGGAAAGGAAGGCCUGCAACAGUGAAGUAUGUCAAGGUGUUUGCAAGCACAUAUUACAUAAGGAGAGUUGAAGACGAUCUAGGAAAGUUUGAUUCUAGAGCCGAUGAAGGAAUAUUCGUAGGCUACUCAACAAGAAGUAAAGCAUAUAAUGCUAUGAUAUUUGGCACACAAGGUUGUUGAAAUUGCAAAUGCGAAAGUAGAUGAAGGAAGAUACUAUGAAGGAGUUCAAGAUGGUCUUCAAAAUUUGGAAGUUUGCAAAGAAGAGGAAACAAAGGAAGAAACUAAGAAAGAGAUUGUUGAGCAAAGGGACCCAAAGACACCACCAACAAAACCACUCAAGACCCCAUCCAAAUUUGCCUAAAAGAAUCAUUUAAAAGACUUGAUCAUUGGAAACAAAGAUAUAGAGAUUUAGACAAGGAGGUUAUUUACUAGCACAUCAAAACAUGCUAAUCUAUGCUUUCUCUUAAAAAUAGAACCAAGGGACUCUACAAAAGCUAGGACAAGAAUGCUAUGGAAUGGGAACUAGAUCUAAUUGAGAAGAAUGAAACUUGGGAACUUGUCCCAAGACCUAAGGAUAAGAAUGUGAUUGGCACUAAAUUGAAUUAGGAUGGCCAAGUCAUAAGAAACAAAGCAAUGCUUGUAUGCAAAGGAUAUGCUCAAGGUAAAGGAAUUGAUUUCAAACAAACCAUUGCCCUUGUUUGUAUAAUAAGAGAUGGAUGUGAAAUUAUGCUUCCUAAAUGGAAACUUGGAGGAAGAAGUGUACAUUGAACAAUUAGGAAGAUUUCUCCUAUUAGAGAAUGAGGAUCAUGUUUGCAAGCUAGAGAAGGGACUUUAUGGAGUAAAACAAGCCCUAAGUGCUUGGUACUCAAGCCUAGACAGGUAAUUUAAAGAGCAAGGUCUCAAAAGAGGAAUUGCGGAUAACAAUCUUUAUAUCAAGAAUGAAGGAGAUGAUUUGUUGAUUGUUGUGGUUUAUGUGGAUGAUAUCAAUUUUGGAGGUAGUAGUGACAAGACGUGCCAAGAGUUUGCCACAAAUAUUUAGGAGUUUGAAAUGUCAAUGCUUGGUGAGCUGUCCUUCUUUGCUCGUUGCAAAUUUCCCAACCAAAUAAGGGAAUAUUUAUUUCACAAACCAAGUAUAUUAAGGAGAUGUUGAAGAAAUUCAUGAUGGAUGACUACAAUCCUGUGAGCACUCCCAUGGUUAUAGGAUGCAAAUUAAGUAAGGAUGAUGGAUCUAUUGAGGAUAACCAAACUCUAUAUAGGUCCAUGAUUGUGAAAUUUAUUAUUGGUGGCACACUUUCAGGCAACAACAAAGGAAACUCAUGUGGAAGCUAUCAAACAAUAUUCAAAUAUCUAAAGGGCACUAUAGAUUUUAGGUUGUGGUAUCUACGAGGUGAAGAUUUCACGCUUAAGUUAUUACAAAUGCAAAUUGGGUUGGUAGUGUUAAGUUAAGUACUAGUGGAGGACCAUUCUUCCUUGGUAAUUGUUGGUAGGAAUAGAGUAGCUAAACAGACUUCUAGAAAUCAUGCCGCAUUGGACUUGCGAAGAGUAGUAAUUAGAAUAUAGCAGAUAGAUUAGGGGUACUAAGCAUGGGCCACGUCCCAUCUAGUAGGUACAAACAUAUUGUAAGAUAGGAUCGCCAUUAAAAAGGUGAAUAUAAGGAAAUAUACCGAAGGCAUAGGGAAAAGAUAGAAUAUACCAAAGGACGAUAUACAAUGGAAUGCAUAUGAAUGCAUAAGGUGAUAUAAGGGUGUAUCCGAUAUAUGGAAUGAAUACAAUCAAUUACUUUUGGGACUCAAUCUAAUGUGUUAUGUGUGGUUGUCUAUUUUCCUUAAUAUGACGGUGUAAGGGGUAUUAGACUACAAAAUCAGAAACUCAUUGGGGUUCAAAACUUUGGUUUGUAUCCCCAGAUUUCUCCUCUUGUAGACUACAAAAUCAGAAACGCAUUGGGGUUCAAAACUUUGGUUUUUAUCCCCAGAUUUCUUGCUAACAUUGGUUUUGCAGUUGGGACCUUGGUUAGGUCUUAUUGAGAACAAUGGGGAAAGUUCUCAAAUUUAAACAUCACAAGAGGAUGGAAAUUAUGGCAAAGGUAAGGUUAGAGCACACCAGUGAGGGUGUUGUUGAGUGUGCCAAUGUGGGUGUUGUCGGAGAGAAGAAAGAUAGUGAGGGAAGGGAAGAAAAGACCCUUGAGAGUUAUAUUUAAUGACCAAAUAAGGGAAGAUGAUUACUAAAAACUUUGGAGAAAACUAUUCAAGGAUAUGGAAGAUCUAGGAGACUAGGGGGAUGUAGUACCACAAAGGCUCCUACCCUACCAUAGUCUCUCACAAACCCUAAAAACAAACCAGACUUGUCCACUAUUACAAUCAUUCUAGAUGACACAUUCAUGGAAUUUUCACAAACUUCGGAGAAGUUCUUUCCCUUAAAUGACAUAUAUUUGAAAGAAUUAGUUAAUAGAAGUAUAAGGAAAAUGAGAAAAGAGGGGAAAAGGCAAAGAAGAAAAAGUCAUGUUAACAAAGAAGGAAAAGCCAUGUCACUACAAACAAAACAAUGAAACGUUGCUGCAAGGAAUCACAACCCCCUGAACAAGAACAAUUCCCACAACCAUAUAAGAGUAGGAGAAUUUUGAUAGAAGAAAUAUUGUUGAUAAAAGAAGAAAAGAAAGAAGCAAAGGUGACAUAAAAGAGCACUUGGGAAGAAACUUUGGCAAAUGAAUUCAUUUUUAUAAAAUUAAAAUGAGAUAAGGGUAGAGAGGAGAAGCUUUGGAUAAUCCAAAUCAUCAAGAAAGAGAAAAAUCAAAGCCCUCAAAUUCCAAGAUCCAAACCAGAAAAGAAAUAACAUAGGAUGGAAGCCUUAAUUAAGAUGCUUGUUUUUGGCCAAGACACUAUUGAAGCUGGAGAACAUGUGUUCCAAUUGGAAUCCCUAUGGGAGAGGAAAGGUGUGAAAGAAGACAAGGAGAGUGUUGGAUGCUAUUGAAGCAAGAGAACAUGUGUUCCUAUUGGAAUCCCUAUGGGAGAGGAAAGGUGUGAAAGAAGACAGGGAGAGUAUUGGAUUUUGUGUUUUGUUUAAGGAAAGAAGAGUUAGACAGGUAGUUUGGACAAAGUUAGGGAUGAUUUUCUAGUAAAAUUUGAUACUUAGGCUAUUAUAUCAAGAGAAAAAUGAUAGAAUUGGUGCAGAAGGAGAACGAGCCUAUUAAGACCUAAAACAAGAGGUUCACAGAAGUAUGCCACAAAUUGGAAUAACCAUUGUAAAAAAAUAUAAAAAAUUGAAUGCUUCACUUCCAAAUUACAGAAAGACAGUUUGGAUGGAAGAAUCCUCGACUCUUAUACAGACUCGAAUACCAUGGCCUACCAAAUAUAAGCCUAGCCUUGGAGGAAUCUGGAAAAAGUGGAAACUAAAGAAAAUUAUAGCCAAGGGUAAAAAAAAGAGAAAGUGAAAGAGAUAUGGUGUACAUAUUGUUCUCUAGAACAACAUAUUUGAAAUGACUGUCCUAAAGCACAAGGGGAAAGAACUGCUAUUUCAAUACAUGUGAAAGUCAAAACCAUUAAGGCUAAUGCAACAUUCUGUGCUAUUUGGUGCAAAUUGGAUACCCACUUGAUUGAAUGUUGUCCAUUUUACCAACCUCCAAUCCAAAAUUGAGGAACUCAUUGCCAUCAAGGAUGCGAUAGUCACAAUUGUAGUGCGGAUGAAAGCAUCGAUAUAGGAUACAAGUAGCCCCACUAAGAGAAAAUAGGAAUGCUUGUGCCAUGUAGAACAACUCAACAAUAUUGCAUUGAGGAUAGAUGACAAUACAACAAUAGAGGAGGUAGAGGCCAAGGAAGAAAUACCAAAAGGAGGAAUGAUGCUACAUGCUUAACUGUGGAAAGUGGGUCAUUAUGCAUCUAAAUGCUGGGAUUGGAACAAAAAAAGAUGUAUCGCUUCUACUGAGAUAAAGAUCCUGGUUUGUUUAAAUGUCAACAUACUAGGCAUUUCUUCCAAAAUGUUGGAACCCCAUUAGGGAGUAAUGACUUGUACAAAGGACCCUGAAUAAUCUAGAGAGUGUCAACACAAAGAGCAAUACAUUGCCAAAGGAUGGACAUAUGGUCCUUCAAUACAUCCAACAAAGAAUACUCUAGAGAGGAACAAGUAAUGGAAACAAAGAAGAAGAAGACCAAACCCAAGAAGGAAGCCAUUUUCCUCACCAGACAAGGAACUAACAUUGAGAGAAAUAGACAUAAGGAGGUUACAGAAGAAUAUGAGCCCUCUAGUUUGGGAGGAAGGACGAGCUCUUUCGAUCUACUAGCAAUCAACAAUAAAAAAUAAUGCACAAAGCUAAACAACAUAUCAUACAACAAGAAGAAGAUUAAAGAUGUUGAUGGAUUUGGUCUCCCUAGCAUCAACAAAAGACUUAGUAGUAAAAUUGAAAUAGUUGGGGAAGUAUUGGAACAAACGAAAUUAGCAACAAAUUAAUGAACUGUCUAAGGAACAUAAUUGGAAGAAUGGUCCUUUGCUCAUCAUUGUACAUUUAAAUGACAAUAUGUAAUAUGUAAUAGUAGAUUUGGUGCAAACUUGAACAUCAUUUCGACUAUCACCUAGGACAAGCUUGGUAGACCUACACUUGUCUAAACACCCAUAAAUAUAAGCCUAGUUGAUGGAUCCAUUAUGGAGACGCUAAGGACCAUAAUUGGAAGAAUAGUCCUUUGCUCAUCAAUGUACAUUUAAAUGAUAAUAUGGAAUAUGUAAUCGUAGAUCUGGUGCAAACUUGAACAUCAUUUUGACUGUAUGCCUAGCUUUCUGCUUUUUAAAAUCAUUACCAAUGAAGGAGAAUAUUGUUUGGGAUGAGAACUUAUCCAUAGGGAAGCAAAAAGCCCACUUGGAUUUGUAAGGGUAAUGGAACAGAAGUCCCAAAUUUUUCUUAAGCAUUUAACCAUGAAGAGCUGAUAGAUUGGGUAGGUGUGUUGGGAGGCCAUUUUGAUGUGGAAGAAAUUUAAGACCCAUCGAUAGUAAAUUUGGCAUAGACAAAACUCAAAGGGCAUGUUGCACUUUGGUGGAGGAAUUGCAUGCAGGGGUUGAUAUUAUGCUCUAAUACCAUGUAGAAGCCAACGUUCAACUAUAGGAGCCAAGAAUCGUCUACAAGCAAAACACUUGUCGCACAAAAGAGAUCAAGCACAGAAUGUAUGCUACAUAACAAGCAAAGAAUUUUGGAUUAUUGCACAAAGAAUGAUUUAAGAUAACAUUGGAGGUACAAUUACAAUGAAUGAAUGAAUCCUUAUAUUGGAGGUAAAUUUCCGACGACAAUUGGAGGUACAAUUUCAAUGAAUGAAUGAAUCCUUAUAAAAGAUGAAUGAAACCCUAGGUGCAAACCCUGAUGUUAAUAUUAGAACUAAAGCAAAAUAACGCCCUGUUGCACUAAAUCAAUGGGAUCUAUGCAUUAGUCAAUUUCAAUUUUAAUAUUAGAACUAAAGCAAAAUAACGCCCCGUUGCACUAAAUCAAUGGGAUGUAUGCAUUAGUCAAUUCCAAUUUGAUAAGGCACAACAUAAGAUGAGGAUGAUUGAGAUGGGAUCUCAAUGUUAGGAGUAGGAACAUGAAGAUAGGCGUUCGUUCCAACCGAACAUAUAAUACCUUUGAUAUACUCAAGCUACUCUUUAGUAUCGCCAUCAAAGGGUAUGAAAUCUGCAUGUGCAAGGGGAAGAAGACAAUAUGUUUCUUGUUUAGAUAUUUGGACUGAAUUUCCAAUGAUAAUUGAUGAAGAUUUGGUCAAGAUUGUAUAGUGAAGAAUUCAUGAUAGCUUUAAUGGCUAUUACUGGUUUUUGUUCGAAUGGAACUGUGCUUGUGAAGAGGUCAGUAGGAAACAAAGAAGUUUAAGCUUUGAUAGACGUAAUUGGAGAUCAAAGAGCUCUAUAAAUUGACACCAUUACAAACCCUUUGGUAAGAUAUGUUGCUAUGGGUAUAAUAUUUACCUUCGAAACAAAGAAGGUUCUACAAUAGCUAUUUCAGUAUAUGUUGCUUAUCAUAUGGCUAAGACAUCAAUGAACUAUAAUUUGUGUUGAGCAAUCUUGAUUGACUAAGAAUGAUGGUUAUCCUUUUCAUUUGAGAUCAUUGAUUGUAUGCCUAGCUUUCUACUUUUUAAAUUCAUUACCAAUCAAGGAGAAUAUUGCUCGGGAUGAGAACUUACCCAUAGGGAAGCAAAAAUGCCACUGGAUUUGUAAGGGUAAUGGAACAAAAGUCGCAAUUUUUUCUUAAGCAUUUAACCAUGAAGAGUUGAUAGAUUGGGUAGAUGUGUUGGAAGGCCAUUUUGAUGUGGAAGAAAUUUAUGACCCAUCGAGAGUAAAUUUGGCAUAGACAAAACAAAAAGGACAUGUUGCACUUCGGUCGAGGAACUGCAUGUUGGAGUUGAUAUUAUGUUCUAACACCAUGUAGAAGCCAAUGAUCAACUAUAGGAUCCAAGAAUCAUCUGCAAGCAAAACACUUGUCGCACAAAAGAGAUAAAGCAAAGAUUGUAUGCUACAUAAGAACGAAAGAAUGAUUUAAGAUAUAAUAUUGGAGUCACAAUUACAAUGAAUGAAUGAAUCCUUGUAAAUGAUGAAUGAAACCCUAGGUGCAAACCUUGAUGUUAAAAUUAGAACUAUAGCAAAAUAACACCCUAUUGCACUAAAUAAAUGGGAUCUAUGCACGAGUCAAUGCCAGUUUGAUAAGGCACAACAUAAGAUGAGGAUGAUCAAGAUCGGAUCUCAAUGUGAGGAGUAGGAACACAAAGAUAGGCGUUCGAUCCAACGGAACAUAUAAUACCUUUGAUAUACUCAAGCUCCUCUUUAGUAUUGUCUUCAAAGGGUAUAAAAUCUGCAUGUGCAAGGGGAAGAAGACAAUAUGUUGCAGGUUUGGAUAUUUAGAGUGAAAUUCCGAUGAUAAUUGAUGAAUCAUUGGUCAAGAUUGUAUAAAGAAGAAUUCGUGAUAUCUUUAAAGGCUAAUACUGGUUUUUGUUCGGAUGCAACCGUGCCUUCAGUAGGAAACAAAGAAGUUUAAGCUUUGACAGGUGUAAUUGGAGAUCAAAGAACUCUAUGAAUUGACACCAUUACAAACCCUUUUGUAAGAUAUGUUGCUAUGGGUAUAAUAUUUACUUUCGAAACAAAGAAGGGUCUACAAUUGCUAUUUCAGUGUAUGUUGCUUAUCAUAUGGCUAAGACACGAACGAACUAUGAUUUGUGCUGAGCGAUGUUGAUUGACUAAGAAUGAUGGUUGUCCUUUUCAAUUCGGCAAAUUGAUUGUAUGCCUAGCUUUCUACUUUUUAAAUUCAUUACCAAUGAAGGAGAAUAUUGCUUGGGAUGGGAACUUACCCAUAGGGAAGCAAAUAUGCCACUUGGAUUUGUAAGGGUAAUGGAACAGAAGUCCCAAAUUUUUUCUAAGCAUUUAACCACAAAGAGUUGAUAGAUUGGGUAGAUGGGUUGGAAGGCCAUUUUAAUGUGGAAGAAAUUUAUGACCCAUCGAGAGUGAAUUUGGCAUAGACAAAACUCAAAGGACAUGUUGCACUUUGGUGGAGGAAUUGCAUGUAGGAGCUGAUAUUACGCUCUAAUACCAUGUAGAAGCCAAUGAUAAACUAUAGGAGCCAAAAAUCAUCUGCAAGCAAAACACCUGUCGCACAAAAGAGAUUCAGCAAAUAAUUUUGAAUUAUUGCACAAAGAAUGAUUUAAGAUAUAAUAUUGGAGGUACAAUUACAAUGAAUGAACGAAUCCUUAUAAAAGAUGAAUGAAACCCUAGGUGCAAACCCUUAUGUUAAAAUUAGUACUAAAGCAAAAUAAAGCCUUGUUGCACUAAAUUAAUGGGAUUUAUGCAUGAGUCAAUGCCAAUUUGAUAAGGCACAACAUAAGGUGAGGAUGAUUGAGAUGGGAUCUCAAUGUGAGGAGUAGGAACAGGAAGAUAGGUGUUCGAUCCAACGGAACAUGCAAUACCUUUGAUAUACUCAAGCUCCUCUUUAGUAUCGCUAUCAAAGGGUAUGAAAUCUGCAUGUGCAAGGGUAAGAAAACAAUAUGUUUUUUAGGUUUGGAUAAUUCAAGUGAAUUUCCGAUGAUAAUUGAUGAAGAAUUGCUGAAGAUUGUAUAAAGAAGAAACCAUGAUAGCUUUAAAGGCCAUUACUGGUUUUUGUUCGGAUGGAACCGUGCCUGUGAAGAGGUCAGUAGGAAACAAAGAAGUUUAAGCUUUGAUAGGCGUAAUUGGAGAUCAAAGAGCUCUUGAUGAAGAAUUGCUGAAGAUUGUAUAAAGAAGAAAUCAUGAUAGCUUUAAAGGCCAUUACUGGUUUUUGUUCGGAUGGAACCGUGCGUGUGAAGAGGUCAGUAGGAAACAAAGAAGUUUAAGCUUUGAUAGGCGUAAUUGGAGAUCAAAGACCUCUAUGAAUUGACAACAUUACAAAACCUCUGGAAAGAUAUGUUGCUAUGGGUAUAAUAUUUUCCUUCGAAACAAAGAAGGUUCUACAAUUGCUAUUUCAGUGUAUGUCACUUAUCAUAUGGCUAAGACAUGAAUGAACUAUGAUUUGUGCUGAGCAAUCUUGAUUGACUAAGAAUGAUUGUUAUCCUUUUCAUUUCGGAUCAUUUAUUGUAUGCUUAGCUUUAUACUUUUUAAAUUCAUUACCAAUGAAGGAGAAUAUUGCUUGGGAUAAGAACUUACCCAUAGGGAAGCAAAAAUGCCACUUGGAUUUGUAAGGGUAAUGGAACAGAAGUCCCAAUUUUUUCUUAAUCAUAAAACCAUGAAUAGCUAAUAGAUUGGGUAGAUGUGUUAGAAGGCCAUUUUGAUGUGGAAGAAAUUUAUGACUCAUCGAGAGUAAAUUUGGCAUAUACAAAACUCAAAGGACAUGUUGUACUUUGGUGGAGGAAUUACAUGUAGGAGCUGAUAUUAUGUUCUAAUACCAUGUAGAAGCCAAUGAUCAACUAUAGGAUCCAAGAAUCAUCUUCAAGCAAAAACCUGUUGCACAAAAGAGAUCAAGCAAACAUUGUAUGCUACAUAACAACCAAAGCAGUUUAGAUUAUUGCUCAAAGAAUGAUUUAAGAUAUAAUAUUGGAGGUACAAUUACAAUGAAUAGAAUGAAACCCUAGGUGCAAACCUUGAUUUUAAAAUUAGAACUAAAGCAAAAUAACGCCCUGUUGCACUAAAUCAAUGGGAUCUAUGCAUAUGAGUCCAUGCCAAUUUGAUAAGGCACAACAUAAGAUGAGGAUGAUUGAGAUGGGAUCUCAAUGUGAGGAGUAGGAACACAAAGAUAGGUGUUGGAUCAAACAAAACAAAUGAUACCUUUGAUAUGCUCAAGCUACUGUUUAGUAUCGUCAUCAAUGGGUAUGAAAUCUGCAUGUGCAAGGGGAAGAAUACAAAAUGUUGCAGGUUUGGAUAUUUGGAGUGAAUUUCUGAUGAUAAUUGAUGAAGAAUUGGUCAAGAUUGUAUAAAGAAGAAUUCAUGAUAGCUUUAAUGGCUAUUACUGGUUUUUGUUCCGAUGGAACCAUGCCUGUGAAGAGGUUAGUAGGAAAGAAAGAAGUUUAAGCUUUGAUAGGCGUAAUUGGAGACCAAAGAGCUCUAUAAAUUGUCACCAGUACAAACCCUCUGGUAAGAUAUGUUGCUAUGGGUAUAAUAUUUACCUUCGAAACCAAGAAGGUUCUGCAAUUGCUAUUUCAGUGUAUGUUGCUUAUCAUAUGGCUAAGACAUGAAUGAACUAUGAUUUGUGCUGAGCAAUCUUGAUUGACUAAGAAUGAUGGUUAUCCUUUUCAUUUCGGAUCAUUCAUUGUAUGCCUAGCUUUCUACUUAUUAAAUUCAUUACCAAUGAAGAAGAAUAUUGCUAGGGAUGAGAACUUACCCAUAGGGAAGCAAAAAUGCCACUUGGAUUUGUAAGGGUAAUGGAAGAGAAGUCCCAAAUUUUUUUUAAGCUUUUAACCAUGAAGAGCUGAUGGAUUUGGUAGAUGUGUUGGAAGGCCAUUUUGAUGUGGAAUAAAUUUAUGUCCCAUCGAGAGUGAAUUUGGCUUAGACUAAACUUAAAGGACAUGUUGCACUUUGGUGGAGGGAAUUGCAUGUAGGAGCUGAUAUUACGCUCUAAUACCAUGUAGAGGCCAAUGAUCAACUAUAGUAGCCAAGAAUUAUUUGCAAGCAAUACGCCUGUGGCACAAAGGAGAUCAAGCAAAGAUUGUAUGCUACAUAACAACCAAAGAAUUUUGGAUUAUUGCACAAUGAAUGAUUUAAGAUAUAAUAUUGGAGGUACAAUUACAAUGAAUGAAUGAAUCCUUGUAAAAGAUGAAUGAAACCCUAGGUGCUAAACCCUUUAUGUUAAAAUUAGAACUAAAGCAAAAUAACGCCUUGUUGCACUAAAUCAAUGGGAUCUAUGCAUGAGUCGAUGCCAAUUUGAUAAGGCACAACAUAAGAUGAGGAUGAUUGAGAUGGGAACUCAAUGUGAGGUGUAGGAACAAGAAGAUAGGUGUUUGAUCCAACGGAACAUUCAAUAUCUUUGAUAUACUCAAGCUCCUCUCUAUUAUCGUCAUCAAAGGGUAUGAAAUCUGCGUGUGCAAGGGGAAGAAGACAGUAUGUUGCAGGUUUGGAUAUUUGGAGUAAAUUUCUAACGAUAAUUGAUGAAGAAUUGGUCAAGAUUGUAUAAAGAAGAAAUUAUGAUAGCUUUAAAGGCUAUUACUGGUUUUUCUAUCGGAUGUAACCGUGCCUUUGAAGAGGUUAGUAGGAAACAAAGAAGUUUAAGCUUUGAUAGGCGUAAUUGCCAAUUGGAGAUCAAAGAGCUCAAUGAAUUGACACCAUUACAAACCCUUUAGUAAGAUAUGUUGUUGAGCAAUCUUGAUUGACUAAGAAUGAUGGUUAUCAUUUUUAUUUCGGUUCAUUUAUUGUAUGCCUAGCUUUCUACUUUUUAAAUUCAUUACCAAUGAAGGAGAAUAUUGCUUGGGAUGAGAACUUACCCAUAGGGAAGCAAAAAUGCGACUUGGAUUUGUAAGGGUCAUGGAAGAGAAGUACCAAAUUUUUCUUAAUCAUUUAACCAUGAAUAGCUGAUAGAUUGGGUGGAUGUGUUGGAAGGCCAUUUUGAUGUGGAAGAAAUUUAGGACCCAUCGAGAGUAAAUUUGGCAUAGACAAAACUCAAAGGACAUGUUGCACUUUGGUGGAGGAAUUGCAUUUAGGAGCUGAUAUUAUGUUCUAAUACCAUGUAGAAGCCAAUGAUCAACUAUAGGAUCCAGGAAUCAUGUGCAAACAAAACUCGUGUCGCACAAAAGAGAUCAAGCAAAGAUUGCGAGCUACAUAACAACAAAAGAAUUUUGGAUUAAUGCACAAAGAAUGAUUUAAGAUAUAAUAUUGAAGGUACAAUUACAAUGAAUGGCUGAAUCCUUAUAAAAGAUGAAUGAAACCCUAGGUGCAAACCCUGAUGUUAAAAUUAGAACUGAAGCAAAAUAACGUCCGGUUGAAAUAAAUCUAUGGGAUCUAUGAACGAGUCGAUGCCAAUUUGAUAAGGCACAACAUAAGAUGAAGAUGAUUGAGAUGGGAUCUAAAUUUGAAGAGUAGGAACACGAAGAUAGGCGUUCAAUCCAACGGAACAUAUAAUACCUUUGAUAUACUCAAGCUCUUGUUUAGUAUCGUCACCAAAGGGUAUGAAAUCUUAAUGUGCAAGGGGAAGAAGAUAACAUGUUGGAGGUUUGGAUAUUUGGAGUGAAUUUUCGAUGAUAAUUGAUGAAGAAUUGGUCAAGAUUGUAUAAAGAAGAAUUCAUGAUAUCUUUAAUGGCUCUUACUGGUUUUUGUUCGGAUGGAACUGUGCUUGUGAAGAGGUCAGUAGGAAACAAAGAAGUUAAAGCGUUGAUAGGCGUAAUUGGUGAUCAAAGAGCUCUAUAAAUUGACAUCAUUACAAACCCUAUGAUAAGAUUUGUUGUUAUUGGUAUAAUAUUUACCUUCGAAACAAAGAAGGUUCUACAAUUGCUAUUUCAGUGUAUGUUGCGAAUCAUAUGGCUAACACAUGAAUGAACUAUAAUUUCUGCUAAGCAAUCUUGAUUGACUAAGAAUGAUGGUUAUCCUUUUCAUUUGGUAUCAUUUAAUGUAUGCAUAGCUUUCUACUUUUUAAAUUUAUUACCAAUGAAGGAUAAUAUUGCUAGGGAUGAGAACUUACCCAUAGGGAAGCAAAAGUGCCACUUAGAUUUUGUAAGGGUAAUGGAACAAAAGUCCCAGUUUUUUCUUUUGUAUUUAACCAUGAAGAGCUGAUAGAUUGGGUGGAUGUGUUGGAAGGCCAUUUUGUUGUGGAAGAAAUUUAUGACCCAUCGAGAGUAAAUUUGGCAUAGACAAACCUCAGAGGACAUGUUGCACUUUGGUUGAGGAAUUUCAUGUAGGAGCUGAUAUGAUGUUCUAAUACCAUGUAGAAGCCAAUGAUCAACUAUAGGAUCCAAGAAUCAUCUGUAAGCAAAACACCUGUCGCACAAAAGAGAUCAAGCAAAGAUUGUAUGCUACAUAAGAAAGAAAGAAUUUUGGAUUAUUGCUCAAAGAAUGAUUUAAGAUAUAAUAUUGGAGGUACAAUUACAAUGAAUGAAUGAAUCCUUGUAAAAGAUGAAUGAAACCAUAGGUGCAAACCAUGAUGUUAAAAUUAGAACUAUAGCAAAAUAAUGCCCUGUUGUAAUAAAUAAAUGGGAUCUAUGCAUGAGUCAAUGCCAAUUUGAUAAGGCACAACAUAAGAUGAGGAUGAUUGAGAUGGCAUCUCAAUGUGAGGAGUAGGAACUCGAAGAUAGGCGUUCGAUCCAACGGAACAUAUAAUACCUUUGAUAUACUCAAGCUCCUCUUUAGUAUCGUCAUCAAAGGGUAUGAAAUCUGCAUGUGCAAAGGGAAGAACACAAUAUGUUGCAUGGUAGGAUAUUUGUAGCGAAUUUCCAAUAAUAAUUGAUGAAUCAUUGCUCAAUAUUGUAUAAAGAAGAAUUCAUGAUAUCUUUAAAGGCUAAUACUGGUUUUUGUUCGAAUGGAACCGUGCCUCUUAAGAGGUGAACAAGAAACAAAGAAGUUUAAGCUUUGACAGGCAUAAUUGGAGAUCAAAGAGCUCGAUGAAUUGAAACCAUUACAAACCCUCUGGGAAGAUAUGUUGGUAUGGGUAUAAUAUUUACUUUAAAAACAAAGAAGGUUCUACAAUUGCUAUUUUAGUGUAUGUUGCUUAUCAUAUGGCUAAGACAUGAAUGAACUAUGAUUUGUGCUGAGCGAUCUUGAUUGACUAAGAAUGAUGGUUAUCCUAUCCAUUUUGGAUCAUUGAUUGUAUGCCUAGCUUUCUACUUUUUAAAUUCAUUACCAAUGAAGGAGAAUAUUGCUUGGGAUGAGAACUUACCCAUAGGGAAGCAAAUAUGUUGCUUGGAUUUGUAAGGGUAAUGGACAAGAAGUCCCAAAUUUUUCUUAAGCAUUUAACCAUGAAGAGUUGAUAGAUUGGCUAGGUGUGUUGGAAGGCCAUCUUGAUCUAGAAGAAAUUUAUGACCCAUCAAGAGUAAAUUUGGCAUAGACAAAACUCAAAGGACAUGUUGCACUUUGGUGGAGGACUUGCAUGUAGGAGCUGAUAUUAUGAUCUAAUACCAUGUAGAAGCCAAUGCUCAACUAUAGAAGCCAAGAAUCAUUUGCAAGCAAAACACCUGUCGCACAAAAGAGAUCAAGCAAAGAAUGAAUGCUACAUAACAGGCAAAGAAUUUUGGAUUAUUGCACAAAGAUUGAAUUAAGAUAUAAUAUUGGAGGUACAAUUACAAUGAAUGAAUGAAUCCUUAUAAAAGAUGAAUGAAACCCUAGGUGCAAACCCUGAUGUUAAAAUUAGAACUAAAGAAAAAAAACGCCUUGUUGCACUAAAUCAAUGGGAUCUAUGCAUGAGUCAAUGCCAAUUUGAUAAGGCACAACAUAAGAUGAGGAUGAUUGAGGUGGGAUCUCAAUGUGAGGAGUAGGAACAUGAAGAUAGGUGUUCGAUCCAACGAAACAUGCAAUACCUUUGAUAUACUCAAGCUCCUCUUUAGUAUCGUCAUCAAAGGGUAUGAAAUCUGCAUGUCCAAACGGAAGAAGACUAUGUUUUUAGGUUUGGAUAACUCAAGUGAAUUUCUGACGAUAAUUGAUGAAGAAUUGGUGAAGAUUGUAUAAAGAAGAAAUCAUGAUAGCUUUAAAGGCCAUUAGUGGUUUUUGUUAGGAUGGAAGCAUGCCUGUGAAGAGUUCAGCAGGAAACAAAGAAGAUUAAGCUUCGAUAGGCGUAAUUCGAAAUCGAAGAGCUCUAUGAAUUGACAACAUUACAAAACGUCUGGAAAGAUAUGUUGCUAUUGGUAUAAUAUUUACCUUCGAAACAAAGAAGGUUCUACAAUUGCUAUUUCAGUGUAUAUUGCUUAUCAUAUGGCUAAGACAUGAAUGAACUAUGAUUUGUGCUGAGCAAUCUUGAUUGACUAAGAAUGAUGGUUAUCCUUUUCAUUUCAGAUCAUUUAUCUUAGCUUUCUACUUUUUAAAUUCAUUACCAAUGAAGGAGAAUAUUGCUUGGGAUGAGAACUUACCCAUAGGGAAGCAAAAAUGCCACUCGGAUUUGUAAGGUUAAUGGAACAGAAGUCCCAAAUUAUUCUUAAUCAUUUAACCAUGAAUAGCUGAUAGAUUGGGUAGAUGUGUUGAAAGGUCAUUUUGAUGUGGAAGAAAUUUAUGACCCAUCGAGAGUAAAUUUGGCAUAGACAAAACUCAAAGGACAUGUUGCACUUUGGUGGAGGGAUUGCAUGUAGGAGUUGAUAUUACGUUCUAAUACCAUGUAGAAGCCAAUGAUCAACUAUAGGAUCCAAUCAUUUGCAAGCAAAAUCGUGUCGCACAAAAUAGAUCAAGCAAACAUUGUAUGCUACAUAACAACCAAAGAAUUUUGAAUUAUUGCUCAAAGAAUGGUUUAAGAUAUAAUAUUGGAGGUACAAUUACAAUGAAUGAAUGAAACCCUAGGUGUAAACCCUGAUGUUAAAAUUAGAACUAUAGCAAAAUAACGCCUUGUUGCACUAAAUCAAUGGGAUAUAUGCAUAUGAGUCCAUGCCAAUUUGAUAAGGCACAACAUAAGAUGAGGAUGAUUGAAAUGGGAUCUCAAUGUGAGGAGUAGGAACAUGAAGAUAGGUGCUCGAUCAAAUGGAACAUAUAAUACCUUUGAUAUAUUCAAGCUCCUCUUUAGUAUCUUCAUCAAAGGAUAUGAAAUCUGCAGGUGCAAGGGGAAGAAGUCAAUAUGUUGCAGGUUUGGAUAUUUGGAGUGAAUUUUUGAUGAUAAUUGAUGAAGAAUUGGUCAAGAUUUUAUAAAGAAGAAUUCCUGAUAGCUUUAAUGGUUAUUACUGGUUUUUGUUCGAAUGGAACUGUGCUUGCGAAGAGGUUAGUAGGAAACAAAGAAGUUUAAGCAUUGAUAGGCGUAAUUGAAGAUCAGAGAGCUCUUUAAAUUGUCACUAUUACAAACCCUCUGGUAAGAUAUGUUGCUAUGGGUAUAAUAUUUACCUUCGAAACCAAGAAGGUUCUACAAUUGCUAUUUUAGUGUAUGUUGCUUAUCAUAUGGCUAAGACAUGAAUGAACUAUGAUUUGUGCUGAGCAAUCUUGAUUGACUAAGAAUGAUGGUUAUCCUUUUCAUUUUGGAUCAUUUAUUGUAUGCCUAGCUUUCUACUUAUUAAAUUCUUUACCACUGAAGGAGAAUAUUGCUAGGGAUGAGAACUUACCCAUAGGGAAGCAAAAAUGCCACUUGGAUUUUUAAGGGUAAAGGAACAGAAGUCCCAAAUUUUUCUUAAGCAUUUAAGCAUGAAGAGCUGAUAGAUUUGGUAGAUGUGUUGGAAGGUCAUUUUGAUGUGGAAGAAAUUUAUGACCCAUCGAGAGUGAAUUUGGCAUAGACAAAACUCAGAGGAUAUGUUGGACUUUGGUGGAGGAAUUGUAUGUAGGAGCUGAUAUUACGCUCUAAUACCAUGAAGAAGCUAAUGAUCAACUAUAGGAGCCAGGAAUUAUCUUCAAGCAAUAUACCUGUGCCACAAAGGAGAUCAAGCAAAGAUUGUAUGCUACAUAACAACCAAAGAAUUUUGGAUUAUUGCACAAAGAGUGAUUUAAGAUAAGAGUGAUUUAAGAUAUAAUAUUGGAGGUACAAUUACAAUGAAUGAAUGAUUCCUUGUAAAAGAUGAAUGAAACCCUAGGUGCAAACCUUGAUGUUAAAAUUAGAACUAUAGCAAAAUAACUUCCUGUUGCACUAAAUAAAUGGGAUCUAUGCAUGAGUCAAUGCCAAUUUGAUAAGGCACAACAUAAGAUGAGGAUGAUUGAGAUCGGAUCUCAAUGUGAGCAGUAGGAACAUGAAGAUAGGCGUUCGAUCCAAUGUAACAUAUAAUACCUUUGAUAUACUCAAGCUCCUCUUUAGUAUCGUCAAUAAAGGGUAUAAAAUCUGCAUGUGCAAGGGGAAGAAGACAAUAUGUUGCAGGUUUGGAUAUUUGGAGUGAAUUUCCGAUGAUAAUUGAUCAACCAUUGGUCAAGAUUGUAUAAAGAAGAAUUCAUGAUAUCUUUAAAGGCUAUUAGUAUUUUUUGUGCGAAUGGAACUGUGCUUGUGAAGAGGUCAGUAGGAAACAAAGAAUUUGAAGCUUUGAUAGGAGUAAUUGGAGAUCAAAGAGCUCUAUGAUUUGACACAAUUACAAACCCUUUGGUAAGAUAUGGUGCUAUGGGUAUAAUGUUUACCUUCGAAACAAAGUAGUUCCUACAAUUGCUAUUUCAGUGUAUGUUGCUUAUCAUAUGGCUAAGACAUGAAUGAACUAUGAUUUGUGUUGAGCAAUCUUGAUUGAUUAAGAAUGAUGGUUAUCCUUUUCAUUUCGGAUCAUUGAUUGUAUGCGUAGCUUUCUACUUUUUAAAUUCAUUACCAAUGAAGGAGAAUAUUGCUUGGGAUGAGAACUUACCCAUAGGGAAGCAAAUAUGCCACUUGGAUUUGUAAGGGUAAUGGAACAAAAGUCCUAAAUGUUUCUUAAGCAUUUAACCAUGAAGAGUUGAUAGAUUGGGUAGAUGUGUUCGAAGGCCCUUUUGAUGUGGAAGAAAUUUAUGACCCUUCGAGAGUAAAUUUGGCAUAGACAAAACUUAAAGGACGUGUUGCACUUUGGUGGAGGAAUUGCAUGUAGGAGCUCAUAUGACGCUCUAAUACCAUGUAGAAACCAAUGAUCAACUAUAGGAGCCAAGAAUCAUCUGCAAGCAAAACACUUGUAGCAAAAAAGAGAUCAAGCAAAGAAUUUUGGCUUAUUGCACAAAGAAUGAUUUAAGAUAUACUAUUGGAGGUACAAUUACAAUGAAUGAAUGAAUGAAUCCUCAUAAAAGAUUAAUGAAACCCUAGGUGCAAACCCUGAUGUUAAAAUUAGAACAAAAGCAAAAUAACACCCUAUUGCACUAAAUCAAUGCUAUCUAUGCAUGAGUCAAUGCCAAUUUGAUAAGGCACAACAUAGGAAUAGGAUGAUUGAGAUUGGAUCUCAAUGUGAGGAGUAGGAAUAGGGAAAUAGGUGUUCGAUCCAAUAGAAUAUGCAGUACCUUUGAUAUACUCAAGCUCCUGUUCAGUAUCAUCAUCAAAGGGUAUGAAAUGUGCACAUGCAAGGGGAGGAAGACAAUAUGUUGCAUGUUUGGAUAUUUUUAGUGAAUUUGGGACGAUAAUUCAUGAAGAAUUGAUCAAGAUUGUAUAGAGAAGAAAUUAUGAUAGCUUUAAAGGCUACUACAAACCCACUGGUAAGAUAUGCUGCUAUGGGUAUAAUAUUUAGCUUCUGAACAAAGAAGGUUCUACAAUUGCCAAUGAAGGAGAAUAUUGCUCAGGGUGAGAACUUACGCAUAGGGAAGCAAAAAUGCCACUUGGAUUUGUAAGGGUAAUCUAACAUAAGUCCCAAUUUUUUCUUAAUCAUUUAGCAAUGAAUAGUUGAUAGAUUGGGUAGAUGUGUUGGAAGGCCAUUUUGAUAUGGAAGAAACUUAUGACCCAUCGAGAGUAAAUUUGGCAUAGACAAAACUCAAAGGACAUGUUGUAGUUUGGUGGAGGAAUUACACAAGUAGGAGUUGAUAUUACAUUCUAAUACCAUGUAGAAGCCAAUGAUCAACUAUAGGAUCCAAGAAUCAUCUGCAAUCAAAACUCGUGUCACACAAAAGAUAUCAAGCAAAGAUUGUAUGCUACAUAACAACCAAAGAAUUUUGGAUUAUUGCACAAAGAAUGAUUUAAGAUAUGAUAUUGAAGGUACAAUUACAAUGAAUGACUGAAUCCUUAUAAAAGAUCAAUGCAACCGUAGGUGCAAACGCUGAUGUUAAAAUUAGAACUAGAGCAAAAUCGCGCCCUGUUGCACUAAAUCAAUGGGAUCUAUGCAUGAGUCGAUGCCAAUUUGAUAGGCACAACAUAAGAUGAGGAUGAUUGAGAUGGGAUCUCAAUGUGAGGAGUAGGAACAUGUAGAUAGGCGUUCGAUCCAACGGAACAUAUAAUACCUUGAUAUACUCAAGCUCCUAUUUAGUAUCGCCAUUAAAGGCUAUGAAAUCUGCAUGUGCAAGGGGAAGAAGACAAUAUGUUGCAGGUUUGGAUAUUUGGAGUGAAUUUCCGAUGAUAAUUGAUGAAGAAUUGGUCAAGAUUGUAUAGUGAAGAAUUCAUGAUAGCUUUAAUGGCUAUUACUGAUUUUUGUUCGAAUGGAACGGUGCGUGUGAAGAGGUCAGUAGGAAACAAAGAAAUUUAAGCUUUGAUAGGCCUAAUUGGAGAUCAAAGAGCUCUAUAAAUUGACAACAUUAGAAACCCUCUGAUAAGAUAUGUUGCUAUGGGUAUAAUAUUUACCUUCGUAACAAAGAAGGUUCUACAAUUUCUAUUUCAGUGUAUGUUGCUUAUCAUAUGGCUAAGACAUGAAUGAACUAUAAUUUGUGCCGAGCAAUCUUGAUUGACUAAGAAUGAUGGUUAUCCUUUUCAUUUGGGAUCAUUUAUUGUAUACCUAGCUUUCUACUUUUUAAAUUCAUUACCAAUGGAGGAGAAUAUUGCUCGGGAGGACAACUUACCCAUAGGGAAGCAAAAAUGCCACUUUUAUUUGCAAGGGAAAUGGAACAAAAGUCGCAGUUUUUUCUUAAGCAUUUAACCAUGAAGAGCAGAUAGAUUGGGUAGAUGUGUUGGAAGGCCAUUUUGAUGUGGAAGAAAUUUAUGACCCAUCGAGAGUAAAUUUGGCAUAGACAAAACUCAAAGGACUUGUUGCACUUUGGUGGAGGAAUUGCAUGUAGGAGCUGAUAUUAUGUUCUAAUGCCAUGUAGAAGCCAAUGAUCAACUAUAAGAUCCAAGAAUCAUCUCCAAGCAAAACACCUGUCGCACAAAAGAGAUCAAGCAAAGAUUGUAUGCUACAUAAGAACGAAUGAAUUUUGGAUUAUUGCACAAAGAAUGAUUUCAGAUAUAAUAUUGGAGGUACAAUUACAGUGAAUGAAUGAAUCCUUGUAAAAGAUGAAUGAAACCCCAGGUGCAAACCCUGAUGUUAAAAUUAGAACUAUAGCAAAAUAACGUCCUGUUGCACUAAAUAAAUGGGAUCCAUGCAUGAGUCAAUGCGAAUUUGAUAAGGCACAACAUAAGAUGAGGAUGAUUGAGGUCGGAUCUCAAUGUGAGGAGUCUGAACACGAAGAUAGGCGUUCGAUCCAACGGAACAUAUAAUACCUUUGAUAUACUCAAUCGCCUGUUUAGUAUUGUCAUCAAAGGGUAUAAAAUCUGCAUGUGCAAGAGGAAGAAGACAAUAUGUUGCAGGUUUGGAUAUUUGGAGUGAAUUUCCGAUGAUAAUUGAUGAAUCAUUGGUCAAGAUUGUAUAAAGAAGAAUUCAUGAUAUCUUUAAAAAGGCUAUUACAGGUUUUUGUUCGUAUGGAACCAUGCCUGUGAAGAGGUCAGUAGGAAAGAAAGAAGUUUAAUCUUUGACAGGCGUAAUUGGACAUCAAAGAGCUCUAUGAAUUGACACCAUUACAAACCCUCUGGUAAGAUAUGCUGCUAUGGGUAUAAUAUUUACCUUCGAAACAAAGAAGUUUCUACAAUUGCUAUUUCAGUGUAUGUUGGUUAUCAUAUGGCUAAGACAUGAAUGAACUAUGAUUUGUGUUGAGCAAUCUUGAUUCACUAAGAAUGAUGGUUAUCCUUUUCAUUUCGGAUCAUUGAUUGUAUGCCUAGCUUUCUACUUUUUAAAUUCAUUACCAAUGAAGGAGAAUAUUGCUUGGGACGAGAACUUACCCAUAAGGAAGCAAAAAUGCCACUUGGAUUUGUAAGGUUAAUGGAAUAGCAGUCCCAAAUUUUUCUUGAUCAUUUAACCAUGAAUAGCUGAUAGAUUGGGUAGAUGUGUUAGAAGAUCAUUUUGAUGUGGCAGAAAUUUAUGACCCAUCGAGAGUAAAUUUGGCAUAGACAAAACUCAAAGGAUAUGUUGUACUUUGGUGGAGGAAUUGCAUGUAGGAGCUGAUAUUACGUUCUAAUACCAUGUAGAAGCCAAUGAUCAACAAUAGGAUCCAAGAAUCAUUUGCAAGCAAAACACCUGUCGCACAAAAGAGAUCAAGCAAAGAUUGUAUGCUACAUAACAACCAAAGAAUUUAGGAUUAUUGCACAAAGAAUGAUUUAAGAUAUAAUAUUGAAAGUACAAUCAUAAUGAAUGACUGAAUCCUUAUAAAAGAUGAAUGAAACUCUAGGUGCAAACCCCGAUGUUAAAAUUAGAACUAAAGCAAAAUAACGCCUUGUUGCACUAAAUCAAUGGGAUCUAUGCAUGAGUCAAUACCAAUUUUAUAAGGCACAACAUAAGAUGAGGAUAAUUGAGAUGGUAUCUCAAUGUGAGGAGUAGAAAUCUGCAUGUACAAGGGCAAGAAAACAAUAAGCUGCAAGUUUGGAUAUUUGGACUGAAUUUCCGAUGAUAAUUAAUGAAGAAUUGGUCAAGAUUGUAUAGUGAAGAAUUCAUGAUAGCUUUAAUGGCUAUUACUGGAUUUUGUUCAGAUGGAACCGUGCCUGUGAAGAAGUCAGUAGGAAACAAAGAAGGUUCUACAAUUGCUAUUUCAGUGUAUGUAGGUUAUCAUAUGGCUAAGACAUGAAUGAACUAUGAUUUGUGCUGAGCAAUCUUGAUUCACUAAGAAUGAUGGUUAUCCUUUUCAUUUUGGAUCAUUGAUUGUAUGCCUAGCUUUCUACUUUUUAAAUUCAUUACCAAUGAAGGAGAAUAUUGCUUGGGAUGAGAACUUACCCAUAGCAAAGCAAAAAUGCCACUUGGAUUUUUUAAGGGUAAUGGAACAGAAGUCCGUAAUUUUUCUUAAGCACUUAACCAUGAAGAGUUGAUAGAUUGGGUAAGUGUAUUGGAAGGCCAUCUUGAUGUGGAAGAAAUUUAUGACCCUUCCAGAGUAAAUUUGGCAUAGACAAAACUCAAAGGACAUGUUGCACUUUGGUGGAGGAAUUGCAUGUAGGAGCUGAUAUUAUGCUCUAAUACCAUGUAGAAGCCAAUGAUCAACUACAAGAACCAAGAAUCAUCUGCAAGCAAAACAACUGUCACACGAAAGAGAUCAAGGAAAGAUAGUAUGCUUCAUAACAACCAAAGAACUCUGGAUUAUUGCACAAAGAAUGAUUUAAGAUAUAAUAUUGGAGGUACAAUUACAAUGAAUGAAUGAAUCCUUAUAAAAGAUGAAUGAAACCCUAGGUGCAAACCCUGAUGUUAAGUUAGACCUAAAGCAAAAUGAUGCCUUGUUGCAAUAAAUCAAUGUGAUCUAUGCAUGAGUCAAUGCCAAUUUGAUAAGGCACAACAUAAGAUGAGGAUGAUUGAGAUGGGAUCUCAAUGUGAGGAUUAGGAACAGGAAGAUAGGUGUUCGAUCCAACGGAACAUGCAAUACCUCUGAUAUACUCAAGCUCCUCUUUAGUAUCGUCAUCAAAGAGUAUGAAAUCUGCAUGUGCAAGGGGAAGAAGACAAUAUGUCGAAGGUUUGGAUAUUUGGAGUUAAUUUCUGACGAUAAUUGAUGAAGAAUUGUUCAAGAUUGUAUAAAGAAGAAAUUAUCAUAGCUUUAAAGGCUAUUACUGGUUUUUGUUUGGAUGGAGCCGUGCCUGUGAAGAGGUCAGUAGGAAACAAAGAAGUUUAAGCUUUGAUAGCUGUAAUUGGAGAGCAAAGAGCUCUAUGAAUUGACACCAUUACAAACCCUAUGGUAAGAUAUGCUGCUAUUGGUAUGAUAUUUACCUUCGCAACAAAGAAGGUUCUACAAUUGCUUUUUCAGUGUAUGUUGUUUAUCAUAUUGCUAAGACAUGAAUUACCUAUGAUUUUUGCUGAGCAAUAUGACCUAUGAUUUGUGCUGAGCAAACUUGAUAGACAAAGAAUGAUGGUUAUCGUUUUCAUUUCGGAUCAUUUAUUGUAUGCCUAGCUCUCUACUAUUUAUAUUCAUUACCAAUGAAGGAGAAUAUUGCUCGUGAUGAGAACUUACCCAUAGGGAAGCGAAAAUGCCACUUGGAUUUAUAAGGGUAAUGGAACAAAAGUCCCAAUUUUUUCUUAAUCAUUUAACCAUCAAUAUUUAAUAGACUGGGUAGAUGUGUUGGAAGGCCAUUUUGAUGUGGAAGAAAUUUAUGAUCCAUCGAGUGUAAAUUUGGUAUACAUAAAACUCAAAGGACAUGUUGCACUUUGGUGAAGGAAUUACAUGUAGGAAUUGAUAUUACGUUCUAAUACCCUGUAGAAGCCAAUGAUCUACUAUAGGAUCCAAGAAGUAUGUGCAAGCAAAACACCUGUCGCACAAAAGAGAUCAAGCAAAGAUUGCAUGCUACAUAAGAACGAAAUAAUUUUGGAUUAUUGCACAAAGAAUGAUUUAAGAUAUAAUAUUGAGGGUACAAUUACAAUGAAUGACCGAAUCCUUAUAAAAGAUGAAUGAAACCCUAUGUGCAAACCUUGAUGUUAAAAUUAGAACUAAAGCAAAAUAACGCCUUGUUGCACUAAAUCAAUAGGAUCUUAGCAUGAGUCAAUGUCAAUUUGAUAAGGCACAACAUAAGAUGAGGAUGAUUGAGAUGGGAUCUCAAUGUGAGGAGUAGGAACACGAAGAUAGGCGUUUGUUCCAACAAAACAUAUAAUACCUUUGAUAUACUCAAGCUCCUCUUUAGUAUCGUCAUCAAAGGGUAUGAAAUAUGCAUGUGCAAGGGGAAGAAGACAAUAUGAUGCAGGUUUGGAUAUUUGGAGUGAAUUUGCGAUGAUAAUUGAUGCAGAAUUGGUCGAGAUUUUAUAAAGAAGAAUUCAUGAUAGCUUUAAUGGCUAUUAUUGGUUUUUGUUCGGAUGGAACCGUGCCUGUGAAGAGGUCAGUAGGAACCAAAGAAGUUUAAGCUUUGAUAGGCGUAACUAGAAAUCAAAGAGUUCUAUAAAUUGACACCAUUACAAACCCUCUGGUAAGAUAUGUUGCUAUGGGUAUAAUAUUUAUCUUAGAAACAAAGAAGGUUCUACAAUUGUUAUUUUAGUGUAUGUUGCUUAUCAUAUGGCUAAGACAUGAAUGAACUAUAAUUUGUGCUAAGCAAUCUUGAUUGACUAAAAAUGAUGGUUAUCCUUUUCAUUCGGGAUCAUUUAUUGUAUGCCUAGCUUUAUACUUUUUAAAUUCAUUACCAAUGAAGGAGAAUAUUGCUCAGGAUGAGAACUUAGCCAUAGCAAAGCAAAAAUGCCACUUGGAUUUGUAAGGGUAAUGGAACAAAAGUCCCAAUUUUUUCUUAAGCAUUUAACCAUGAAGAGUUGAUAGAUUGGGUAGAUGUGUUGGAAGGCCAUUUUGAUGUGGAAGAAAUUUAUGACCCAUCGAGAGUAAAUUUGGCAUAGACAAAACUUAAAGGACAUGUUGCACUUUGGUGGAGGAAUUGCAUGUAGGAGCUGAUAUUAUGUUCUAAUACUAUGUAGAAGCCAAUGAUCAAUUGUAAGAUCCAAGAAUCAUCUGCAAGCAAAACACCUGUCACAUAAAAGAGAACAAGCAAAGAUUGUAUGUUGCAUAAGAACGAAAGAAUUUUGGAUUAUUGCACAAAGAAUGAUUUAAGAUAUAAUAUUGGAGGUACAAUUACAAUGAAUGAAUGAAUCCUUGUAAAGAUGAAUGAAACCCUAGGUGCCAACCCUGAUGUUAAAAUUAGAACUAAAGCAAAAUAACGCCCUAUUGCACUAAAUCAAUGGGAUCUAUAAAUGAGUCAAUGCGAAUUUGAUAAGGCACAACAUAAGAUGAGGAUGCUUGAGAUGGGAUCUCAAUGUGGGGAGUAGGAACACGAAGAUGGGCGUUCGAUGCAAUGGAACAUAUAAUACCUUUGAUAUACUCAAGCUUCUCUUUCGUAUUGUCAUCAAAGGGUAUAAAAUCUGCAUGUGCAAGGGGAAGAAGACAACAUGUUGCAGGUUUGGAUAUUUGGAGUGAAUUUUCGAUGAUAAUUGAUGAAUCAUUGGUCAAGAUUGUAUAAAGAAGAAUUCAUGAUUAUCUUUAAUGGCUAUUAUUGGUUUUUGUUCGGAUGGAACCGUGCUUGUGAAGAGGUCAGUAGGAAACAAAGAAGUUAAAGUUUUGACAGGCAUAAUUGGAGAUCAAAAAGCUCUAUGAAUUAACACCAUUACAAACCCUCUAGUAAGAUAUGUUGUUAUGGGUAUAAUAUUUACCUUCGCAACAAAGAAGGUUCUACAAUUGCUAUUUCAGUGAAUGUUGCUCAUCAUAUGGCUAAUACAUGAAUGAACUAUGAUUUGUGUUGAGCAAUCUUGAUUGACUAAGAAUGAUGGUUAUCCUUUUCAUUUCGGAUCAUUGAUUGUAUGCCUAGCUUUCUACUUUUUAAAUUCAUUACCAAUGAAGGAGAAUAUUGCUUGGGAUGAGAACUUACCCAUAGGGAAGCGAAUAUGCCACUUGGAUUUGUAAGGGUAAUGGAACAAAAGUCCUAAAUGUUUCUUAAGUAUUUGACAAUGAAGAGUUGAUAGAUUGGGUAGAUGUGUUGGAAGGCCCUUUUGAUGUGGAAGAAAUUUAUGACCCAUCGAGAGUAAAUUUGGCAUAGACAAAACUCGAAGGACAUGUUGCACUUCGAAUGAUAUGUUGUUGAGCAAUCCUGAUUGACUAAGAAUGAUGGUUAUCUUUUUCAUUUUGGAUCAUUUAUUGUAUGCCUAGCUUUAUACUUUUUAAAUUCAUUACCAAUGAAGGAGAAUGUUGCUUGGGAUGAGAAGUUACCCAUAGGGAAGCAAAAAUGCGAGUUGGAUUUGGAAGGGUAAUGGAAGAGAUUCCCAAAUUUUUCUUAAUCAUUUAACCAUGAAUAACUGAUGGAUUGGGUAGAUGUGUUGGAAGGCGAUGUGGAAGAAAUUUAUGACCCAUCAAGAGUAAAUUUGGCAUAGACAAAACUCAAAGGACAUGUUGCACUUUGGUAGAGGAAUUGCAUGUAGGAGCUGAUAUUACCCUCUAAUACCAUGUAGAAGCCAAUGAUCAACUAUAGGAGCGAAGAAUCAUUUGCAAGAAAAACACUUGUCGAACAAAAGAGAUCAAGCAAAGAUUGUAUGCUACAAAGAAUUUUGGAUUAUUGCACAAAGAAUGAUUUAAGAUAUAAUAUUGGAGGUACAAUUGCAAUGAAUGAAUGAAUCCUUAUAAAAGAUGAAUGAAACCCUGAUGUUAAAAUUAGAACUAAAGCAAAAUAACGCCCUAUUGCACUAAAUCAAUGGGAUCUAUGCAUGAGUCAAUGCCAAUUUGAUAAGGCACAACAUAAGAUGAGGAUGACUGAGAUGGGAUCUGGAUGUUAGAAGGCCAUCUUGAUGUGGAAGAAAUUUGUGAUCAAUCGAGAGUAAAUUUGGCAUAGGCAAAACUCAAAGGACAUGUUGCACUUUGAUGGAGGAAUUGCGUGUAGGAGCUGAUAUUAUGCUCUAACACCUUGUAGAAGCCAAUGAUCAAACUAUAGGAAGGCAAGAAUCAUCUGCAAGCAAAACACCUGUCGAACAAAAGAGAUCAAGUAAAGAUUGUAUGCUACAUAACAACCAAAGAAUUUUUGAUUAUUGCACAAAGGAUGAUUUAAGAUAUAAUAUUGGAAGUACAAUUACAAUGAAUAAAUGAAUCCUUAUAAAAGAUGAAUAAAACCCUAGGUGCAAACCUUGAUGUUAAAAUUAGAACUAAAGAAAAAUAACGCCUUGGUGCACUAAAUCAAUGGGAUCUAUGCAUGAGUCAAUGCCAAUAUGAUAAGGCACAACAUAAGAUGAGGAUGAUUGAGAUGGGAUCUCAAUGUGAGGAGUAGGAACAUGAAUAUAGGUGUUCGAUCCAACAGAACAUGCAAUACCUUUGACAUACUCAAGCUCCCAUUUAGUAUCGUGAUCAAAGGGUAUGAAAUCUGUAUGUGCAAGGGGAAGAAGACAACAUGUUGCAGGUUUGGAUAUUUGGAGUGAAUUUCUGAUGAUAAUUGAUGAAGAAUUGGUCAAGAUUGUAUCGAGAAGAAUUCACGAUAGCUUUAAAGGCUAUUACUGGUUUUUUGUUCGGAUGGAACUGUUCCUGUGAAUAGGUCAGUAUGAACUAAGAAGUUUAAGCUUUGAUAGGCCUAAUUUGAGAUCAAAGAGGUCUAUGAAUUGACACCAUUACAAACCCUCUGGUAAGAUAUUUUGCUAUGGCUAUAAUAUUUACAAACAAAGAAGGUUCUACAAUUGCUAUUUCAGUGUAUGUUGCUUAUCAUAUGGCUAAGACAUGAAUGAAAAAUGAUUUGUGUUGAGCAAUCUUUGAUUGACUAAGAAUGAUAGUUAUCCUUUUCAUUUCGGAUCAUUGAUUGUAUGCCUAGCUUUCUACUUUUUAAAUUCAUUACCAAUGAAGGAGAAUAUUGCCUGGGAUGAGAACUUAUGCAUUGGGAAGCAAAAAUGGCACUUGGAUUUGUAAGGGAAAUGGAACGUAAGUCCCAAAUUUUUCUUAAGCAUUUAACCAUGAAGAGGUGAUAGAUUGGGUAGGUGUGUUGGAAGGCCAUUUUGAUGUGGAAGAAAUUUAUGACCUAUCGAGAGUAAAUUUGGCAUAGACAAAACUCAAAGGACAUGUUGCACUUUGGAGGAGGAACUGCAUGUAGGAGCUGAUAUUACGCUCUAAUACCAUGUAGAAGCCAAUGAUCAACUAUAGGAGUUGAGAAUCAUUUGCAAGGAAAACACUUGUUGCACAAAAGAGAUCAAGCAAAGAUUUAAUGCUACAUAAAAAGUAAAGAAUUUUGGAUUAUUGCACAAAGAAUGAUUUAAGAUAUAGUAUUGGAGGUACAAUUACUAUGAAUGAAUGAAUCCUUAUAAAAGAUGAAUGAAACCCUGAUGUUAAAAUUAGAACUAACGCAAAAUAACGCCCUGUUGCACUAAAUCAAUGGGAUCUAUGCAUUAGUCAAUGCCAAUUUGAUAAGGCACAACAUAAGAUGUGGAUGAUUGAAAUGGGAUCUCUAUGUGAGGAAUAGGAACAGGAAGAUAGGUGUUCGAUUCAACGGAACAUGCAAUACCUUGGAUAUACUCAAGCUCUUGUUUAGUAUCGUCAUCAAAGGGUAUGAAAUCUGUAUGUGCAAGUGGAACAAGACAAUAUGACCUAUCGAGAGUAAAUUUGGCUUAGACAAAACUCAAAGGACUUUUUUGCACUUUGGUGGAGGAAUUGCAUGUAGGAGUUGAUAUUACGCUCUAAUACCAUAAAGAAGCCAAUGAUCAACUAUAGGAGCCAAGAAUCAUCUGCAAGGAAAAUACCUGUCGCACAAAAGAGAUCAAGCAAAGAUUGUAUGCUACAUAAAAACUAAAGAAUUUGGGAUUAUUGCACAAAGAAUGAUUUAAUGUAUAAUAUUGGAGGUACAAUUACAAUGAAUGAAUGAAUCCUUAUAAAAGAUGAAUGAAACCCUAGGUGCAAACCCUGAUGUUAAAAUUAGAAGUAAAGGAAAAUAACCCCCUUUUGCACUAAAUAAACUAGAUCUAUGCAUGAGUCAAUGCCAAUUUGACAAGGCACAACAUAAGAUGAGGAUGAUUGAUAUGGGAUCUGAAUGCGAGGAAUAGGAACAGGAAGAUAGGUGUUCGAUCCAAGGGAACAUGCAAUACCCUUGAUAUACUAAACCUCCUCUUUAGUAUCAUCAUGAAAGGGUAUGAAAUCUGCAUGUGCAAGUGGAAGAAGACAAUAUGUUGCAUGUUUGGAUAUUUGGAGUGAAUUUCCGAUGAUAAUUGAUGAAGAAUUGGUCAAGAUUGUAUAAAGAAGAAUUCAUGAUAGGUUUAAUGGCUAUUACUAGUUUUUGUUCUAAUGGAACUGUGCCUGUGAAGAGGUCAGUAGGAAACAAAGUAGUUUAAGCUUUGAUAGGCGUAAUUGGAGAUCAAAGAGAUCAAUGAAUUGACACCUUUACAUACACUCUGGUAAGAUAUUUUGUUAUGGGUAAAAUAUUUACCUUCGAAACAAAGAAGGUUCUACAAUUGCUAUUUCAGUUUAUGUUGCUUAUCAUAUGGCUAAGACAUGAAUGAACUAUGAUUUGUGUUGAGCAAUCUUGAUUGACUAAGAAUGAUGGUUAUUCUUUUCAUUUCCGAUCAUUGAUUGUAUGCCUAGCUUUCUACUUUUUAAAUUCAUUAUCAAUGAAGGAGAAUAUUGCUUGGGAUGAGAACUUACCCAUAGGGAAGCAAAAAUGCCACUUGGAUUUGUAAGGGUAAUUUAACAAAAGUCCCAAAUUUUUCUUGAGCAUUUAACCAUGAAGCGUUGAUAGAUUUGGUGGGUGUGUUGGAAGGCCUUUUUGAUGUGGAAGAACCUUAUGACCCAUCGAGAGUAAAUUUGGCAUAGACAAAAACUCAAAGGACAUGUUGCACUUUGGUGGAGGAAUUGCAUGUAGGAGCUGAUAUUAUGCUCUAAUACCAUGUAGAAGCCAAUGAUCAACUAUAGGAGCCAAGAAUCUUCUGCAAGCAAAACACCUGUCGCACAAAAGAGAUCAAGCAAAGAUUGUAUGCUACAUAACAUCCAAAGAAUUUUGGAUUAUUGCACAAACAAUGAUUUAAGAUAUAAUAUUGGAGGUACAGUUACAAUGAAUGAAUGAAUCCUUAUAAAAGAUGAAUGAAACUCUAUGUGCAAACUCUGAUGUUAAAAUUAGAACUAAAGCAAAAUAACGCCUUUUUGCACUAAAUCAAUGGGAUUUAUUCAUGAGUCAAUGCCAAUUUGAGAAGGCACAAUAUAAGAUGAGGAUGAUUGAGAUGGGAUGUCAAUGUGAGGAGUAUUAACAUGAAGAUAGGCGUUCGAUCCAACGGAAAAUGCAAUAGCUUUGAUAUUAUCAAGCUCCUCUUUAGUAUCGUCAUCAAAGGGUAUGAAAUCUGCAGGUGCAAGGGGAAAAUGCAAUAGCUUUGAUAUUAUCAAGCUCCUCUUUAGUAUCGUCAUCAAAGGGUAUGAAAUCUGCAGGUGCAAGGGGAAGAAGACAAUAAAUAUGUUGCAGAUUUGGAUAUAUGGAAUGAAUUUCUGAUGAUAAUUGAUGAGGAAUUGUUCAAGUUUGUAUCAAGAAGAAUUCAUGAUUGCUUUAAAGGCUAUUACUUGUUUUUGUUCGGAUGGAACUGUUCUUGGGAAGAGGUUAGUAGGAAACAAAGAAUUUUAAGGUUUGAUAGGCGUAAUUGGAGAUCAAAGAGCUCUAUUAAUUGACACCAUUACAAUCCCUCUGGUAAGAUAUGUUGCUAUGGGUAUAAUAUUUACCUUCAAAAAAAAGAAGAUUCUACAAUUGCUAUUUUAGUGUAUGUUGCUUAUCAUAUGGCUAAGACAUGAAUGAACUGUGAUUUGUGUUGAGCAAUCUUGAGUGACUAAGAAUGAUGGUUAUCCUUUUCAUUUCGGAUCAUUGAUUGUAUGCCUAGCUUUCUACUUUUUAAAUUCAUUUACCAAUGAAGGAGAAUAUUGCUUGGGAUGAGAACUUACCCAUAGGGAAGCAAAAAUGCCACUUGGAUUUGUAAGGGUAAUGGAACAAAAGUCCAAUUUUUUUUUUUUUCUUAAGCAUUUAAUCAUGAAGAGAUGAUAGAUUUUGUAGGUGUGUUGAAGGCCAUUUUGAUGUGGAAGAAAUUUAUGGCCCAUCGAGAGUAAAUUUGGCAUAGACAAAACUCAAAGGACAUGUUGCACUUUGGUGGAGGAAUUGCAUGUAGGAGCUGAUAUUAUGCUCUAAUACCAUGUAGAAGCUAAUGAUCAACUAUACGAGCCAAGAAUCAUCUGCAAGCAAAACACCUGUCGCACAAAAGUGUCGCACAAAAGAGAUCAAGCAAAGAUUGUAUGCUACAUAACAACCAAAGAAUUUUGGCUUAUUGCACAAAGAAUGAUUUAAGAUAUAAUAUCGAAGGUACAAUUACAAUGAAUGAAUGAAUCCUUAUAAAAGAUAAAUGAAAGCCUAGGUGCAAAUCCUAAUGUUAAAAUUAGUACUAAAGCAAAAUAACAUUCUAUUGCACUAAAUCAAUGGGAUCUAUGCAUGAGUCAAUGCCAAUUUGAUAAGGCACAACAUAAGAUGAAGAUGAUUUAGAUGGGAUCUCGAUGUGAGGAGUAGGAACAUGAAGAUAGGCGUUCGAUCCAACGGAACAUGCAAUACCUUUGAUAUACUCAAGCUCCUCUUUAUUAUCGUCAUCAAAGGGUAUGAAAUCUGUAUGUGCAAGGGGAAGAAGACAAUAUGUUGCAGGAUCCUUCGGGAAUGGAGAGAGAUGAGGGUCUCCGAAGAUCUCCCAAAGGCAAAUCCAAAGUAUGUAGUAUGUAGCACACAUAGUGUCAAAAUCAACACUAGAACCAAUCACACCUACAACAUGGUAUAUGAGAUUACCUCAAGCUGAUUGAAGUAUGAGUCUAUACAAGUAAGGCAACAUAUCUAGCCACCUUAGAUGUGUUAGAAUGUCAUGUCCCCAAGACUCUUAAUUGCACUUAGGUAGGCAAACAAUUGAAGGAUGAACAAAAAAACAAAAGAGAUACAUGGUUGUAUAUGUUAUAGUGAUUUUUUAAAAAUGUGAACAAGGUUAAGUUUCAGACAAUCAUUGCUGUAUUAUGACAUAGUAAACAUAAAUGAUAAAAGACAAUGUACAUACUACCAUCUAACAUUAUUUUUUUAAACAUUACAAAUAUAGAGCAAAAUAAAAGAAUGUAUUGACAUCUAUUUGAUUUAGACACAAGAUGCUGGCAUAUAUUAUAGCGAUUUUAUUAAAUUUGAAGGUGGUUAGGUUUUAGACAAUCAUUGUUGUAUUAUGACAUAGUUAACAUAAGUAAUAAAAGACAGUUUCUAACAUUAUUUUUUUAAUAUCAUAAAAUAUAAAGUAAAAUAAAAUGAUGUAUGCAUUGUUGAACUUAUUUUGAGAUGUAUUUGAGUUACACACAUGAUGCUCAUAGAUUUUAUGGUGAUUUAUUUUUAUUGUGAACAAGGUUAAAUUUUUUAAUAAUCAUUGUUGUAUUAUGACAUUGUUAACAUAAGUAAUAGAAGACAGUGUACAUUCUACCGUCUUAACAUUUUUUUUUAUAAUAUUAUAAAAUUAAAGUGAAAUAAAAGGAUAAAUGCAAUGUUGAAACUUAUUUUGAGAUAUAUUUAAGUUAUACACACAGUGCUCAUAAAUGUUAUGGUGAUUUAUGUUUAACGUGAACAAGGUUAAUUUUUAAGAUGUAUGCAUUGUUGAAAACUUAUUUUGAGAUGUAUUUGAGUUACACAUGAUGUUCAUAGAUAUUAUGGUGAUUUAUUUUAAAUGUGAACAAGGUUAAUUUUUAGUCAAUCAUUGUUGUAUUAUGACAUUGUUAACAUUAACAUACGUAAUAGUAGAAGACAGUGUACAUAUUACCAUCUAACUUUAUUUUUUGGUAUUACAAAACAUAGAGAAAAGUAAAAUAAUGUGUACAUUGCUUGAAAUUCAUAUUCAUAUUUAUUUGAUUUAUAGAAAAUGCUCAUAAAUGUUAUAGAAUGAUCUUAAAUUAGUUCCUUUACUUCACAAGUAAUUGAUAUGUUCACUAUGCAAUUAUAGAAUAUUGAAUUUGAUGUUAAUUAUGAUAUUAAUGUAAUUUAUUUUGCCAUUGAAAAUUACUUAUUGUAUGAUAUCACUAUUUCACAUAUUGACCCUUCCUUUUUGAUUAUUAUUUAUCUUAAUCAAUUGUGGAAUGACAAUGGUUAUGUUAGGAAAUGCUGUAAUUUACUAAUUCUAUGCAUUAAGUAGAAAUUAUUUUACUAAUUAAUUUAAAUUCAAAUAAUGGUGAGAAAUGAUAUUGAAACUAAUUUUAGACCAAUGAAUCUUACUAAUGCAUUUUUGUGUCGCUUGAUGAGGAUACAAUUGUGAGUGGAGCACGUACUUCAUGAAGUCUUCAAAUAGCUUUAAAGGGAGUGAUAACUAAACUUCUAUAUCAAGAGGAAGGAAUGCUAAUUGGACUUCAAGAAAGUACAGGUGUGGUUAACUGAGUUGCAGCAUUAUGCUCCUGGUGUGCUAGUUCUUUUGGUUGGAAGAAAAUUAGUGGUUAACUGAGUUGCAGCAUUAUGCUCCUGGUGUGCUAGUUCUUUUGGUUGGAAGAAAAAUAAGUUGAUAUCCUUGAGGAUAAACAUUUUUUAUCUGACCAUCCUGGUUCAGUCCCUGUAACAACUGCAGAACUGAGUUGCAGCAUUAGGCUCCUGGUGUGCUAGUUCUCUUGGUUGGAAGAAAAAUAAGUAGAUCUUUCUGAGGAUAAACAUUAUUUAUUUGACCGUCCUGGUUCAGUCCCUGUAACAACUGCAGAAUUGGUAAAAUCAGGUUGUUCAAAUUUUCAGCUUUUUUGGAUAUAAAGAUGCUAUCAAUAUCAGUGAUUAUAAUCUGCUCAAGCAGUAUCUCUCCAAGGGUAAACAUUAUUUAUCUGACCAUCGUGGUUCAGACCCUGUAACAACUGCAGAAUGGUUAACUGAGUUGCAGCAUUAUGCUCCUGGUGUGCUAGUUCUUUUGGUUGGAAGAAAAAUAAGUUGAUCCUCCCUGAGGAUAAACAUUAUUUAUCUGAACAUCCUGGUUCAGUCCAUAACAACUGCAUAAGAAUUUGGCCUGUGCUCACUGAUGGUUCAGCCAAUCGCCAAAGCCAUCAGCUACCAAAACACAAGAGGAAUAGCAGAGGGUUAUCCUGUACUAGAAUAUUAUGCAAGAUAUUCGCAAAGGAUAUAGGAACAGCAAGGCUUUCUUCAACACCUAUAGCAAUGGUAACAACCAGUCUUGUGAAAUUGGUGACAACAUCCAGUAUUGCAACAACAAAGUUUGCAUACCAGCUUUUUUUGUAUACCAGUCUUGUGAAAUUGGUGACAACAUCCAGUAUUGCAACAACAAAGUUUGCAUACCAGCUUUUUUUGUAUACAUAAUUCAAUGGUUAUAUCAAUCGCUUGUUAGUUGGUUUGCAUACCAGCCUUCUUUGUAAGGUUAUGCCAAUGGUUCAUAGAAAUAUCUCGAGCAAUUUCAUGCUUAUUGUGAGUUUAUUAUUACUGCCCAAACUCAAACAUCUUGAUGGUUUAAUGACGCCUGACGAAGGCAUUCAACUUUAUUGGAAUAGAAAACAUACUAUGAUCAUGUAUCGUUAGUUUGUCAAAUUAUUUUUUUUCA